GAUACCCUGGGUAGUCCACGCAGUAAACGAUGGAUGCUAGCUGUCCGGGGCGAAUGAGUUCUGGGUGGCACAGCGAAAGCGUUAAGCAUCCCACCUGGGGAGUACGCCGGCAACGGUGAAACUCAAAGGAGUUGACGGGGGCCCGCACAAGCGGAGGAACAUGUGGUUUAAUUCGAUGAUACGCGAGGAACCUUACCCGGGCUCAAACGGCACAGUGAUACUUUUGAAAGGAGGUAGCUCUACGGAGACUGUGCCGAGGUGCUGCAUGGUUGUCGUCAGCUCGUGCCGUGAGGUGUCGGCUUAAGUGCCAUAACGAGCGCAACCCCUAUUGUCAGUUGCCAGCAGGUAAAGCUGGGGACUCUGACGAGACUGCCGGCGCAAGCUGAGAGGAAGGCGGGGAUGACGUCAAAUCAGCACGGCCCUUACGUCCGGGGCGACACACGUGUUACAAUGGCAGGCACAGCGGGAAGCCACCCGGCGACGGGGAGCGGAACUGUCAAAACCUGUCUCAGUUCGGAUUGGAGUCUGCAACCCGACUCCAUGAAGCUGGAUUCGCUAGUAAUCGCGCAUCAGCCACGGCGCGGUGAACACGUUCCCGGGCCUUGUACACACCGCCCGUCAAGCCAUGGAAGCCGGGAGUGCCUGAAGUGUGCAACCGCAAGGAGCGCCCUAAGGUAAAACCGGUGACUGGGGCUAAGUCGUAACAAGGUACC
rnacentral:rRNA from 1 species